rnacentral:rRNA from 1 species
GAUGAACGCUGACAGAAUGCUUAACACAUGCAAGUCAACUUGAAUUUGGGUUUUUAACUUAGGUUUGGGUGGCGGACGGGUGAGUAACGCGUAAAGAACUUGCCUCACAGCUAGGGACAACAUUUGGAAACGAAUGCUAAUACCUAAUAUUAUGAUAAUAGGGCAUCCUAUAAUUAUGAAAGCUAUAAGCGCUGUGAGAGAGCUUUGCGUCCCAUUAGCUAGUUGGAGAGGUAACGGCUCACCAAGGCGAUGAUGGGUAGCCGGCCUGAGAGGGUGAUCGGCCACAAGGGGACUGAGACACGGCCCUUACUCCUACGGGAGGCAACAGUGGGGAAUAUUGGACAAUGGACCGAGAGUCUGAUCCAGCAAUUCUGUGUGCACGAUGAAGUUUUUCGGAAUGUAAAGUGCUUUCAGUUGGGAAGAAACAAAUGACGGUACCAACAGAAGAAGUGACGGCUAAAUACGUG